rnacentral:tRNA from 1 species
GCACCCUUAGCUCAGCUGGCAGAGCAACUGACUCUUAAUCAGUGGGUCCGGGGUUCGAAUCCCCGAGGGUGUACCA